rnacentral:lncRNA from 1 species
AAAAACUAGUGUUAAAGACAUGUAAACGCUUUGAUCAUAUCUAGAUUAAACCAUACAACUAUAGAUCAGAACAAUAUCGAACCAAAACACAUCCAAAUCCUGAUUCAAAGCAUGCAAAUCAAACAUCAGAAGAACACACAAGGGAUUUUGAAUCCUAUUUUAACUAAAAACUAAGGAUCCAAAACAAUAUCAAACCAAAACACAUCCAAAUCCUUAUCCUAAAGACUGUUAAUCAACAUAUCUAUACCCUACAACUCUUAACAACUUCAUUCACAAUUAAUUUCCUCAUUCAAACCGUGCAAAUCAAACAUCAGAAGAACACACAAGGGAUUUUGAAUCCAAUUUUAUUUAAAAUACAAACGACCCUAAACAAUAUCAAACCAAAACACAUCCAAAAUCAUGUUAACCUACAUAACUAAACCCUAGAACUCUUAACAUGUACAACUCACUAAAUUUCCUGAAUCAAUACCUACAAAUCAAACAUCCCAACAACACAGGACCGUAUUUAACAAAUAUUUCAUUUUCGAAACUAAAGAUCCAACCAAAUAACCAACCCGCAGAUCUUUAAUCCGUGGCCAAACUAUUGAGAAUGAAGACGGAGGUAACUUUACACUCAACGAAAUAUUCAUCCAACGAACGAACUUCAUAAAAGAAGAAGAAGGAAAAGACGAUUGUUGCAUGUACCUGAACUUGGACGAAUUCAGGUUUGAGAGACGGAACGGAUGAGGAGGAGACGCAACAGAUCCAGAAGACGAAUGGGACUGGAAGGUGACGGAAUACACGGUGGAUGAGCCGGAGAAGACGGCUAGACCUUGUCGGAUCAGACGAAACGGUGGUUCUCUCGUCGCAUCGCGCAGCUAGGGUUCGAGAGAAAGAAGAAACAAUUUGGGGAUUUCUCGAUUUGCUUCACUGGCCAAAAAACAAAUAAUUGUAUGAAAAAAAUAAAAAAUCGACCUAUCACAACUCGCCACGUCGCCUAAGACUCGC